rnacentral:tRNA from 1 species
GGAACUGUGCCUGAAGUAAAGGGUCACUUUGAUGUAGUGAAUCAUGAGGGUUUAAUCCCCUCCGGCUCCU